AUGAUCUUCAAUGCUCAAAAAGAGAAAAUGAUUACUGGCUUAGCCCCUGACAUUAUUGAGGGGGGUGUUGCUGUAUUGCACUACGCAGAUGACACAGUGUUAUGUUUUGGACAUGACACCUCUGCUGCAAUAAACCUCAAACUGCUCCUUUAUAUGUUUGAACUUAUGUCAGGUCUGAAAAUUAACUAUCUCAAAAGUGAAAUCCUGUGUGUGGGGGGUGAUAACAAUAUCCUUUCUUACUAUGUGGAUCUUUUUAAUUGCCAAAUUGGUCACUUUCCUAUGCGUUACUUAGGAGUGCCAGUUAGUUUCUCCUCUCUUAGAUGCCUUGAGUGGAUCUUUGUUGAUGAGAAAUUUGGCAAAUGUUGUGAAGCCUAG
rnacentral:rRNA from 1 species